rnacentral:rRNA from 1 species
UACGAAGGGGGCUAGCGUUGUUCGGAAUUACUGGGCGUAAAGCGCACGUAGGCGGAUAUUUAAGUCAGGGGUGAAAUCCCAGAGCUCAACUCUGGAACUGCCUUUGAUACUGGGUAUCUCGAGUAUGGAAGAGGUGAGUGGAAUUCCGCGUGUAGUGGUGAAAUACGUAGAUAUCUGGAGGAACACCGGUGGCGAAGGCGGCGAUCUGGCCCAACAUUGACACUGAGACCCGAAAGCGUGGGGAUCAAACAGG